UGGGGGAUCGUCUAACGGCAGGACGAAUGGCUCUGGACCAUUUAAUCGGGGUUCGAAUCCCUGUCCCCCAG
rfam:Candidate division Zixibacteria bacterium RBG-1 RBG1_1C00001, whole genome shotgun sequence.